rnacentral:rRNA from 1 species
UCGAGAAUCUUCGGCAAUGGGCGCAAGCCUGACCGAGCGACGCCGCGUGGAGGACGAAGGCCUUCGGGUUGUAAACUCCUGUCGAGGGGGAGGAAGGGGCAACCUUGACCGAUCCCUGGAGGAAGCACGGGCUAAGUUCGUGCCAGCAGCCGCGGUAAGACGAACCGUGCGAACGUUAUUCGGAAUCACUGGGCUUAAAGCGCGUGUAGGCGGAUGGGCGCGUCGGCCGCUGAAAUCCCCCGGCUCAACCGGGGAAGUGGCGCCGAAACGGCCCGUCUGGAGGGGGGUAGGGGGCGCUGGAACUCACGGUGGAGCGGUGAAAUGCGUUGAGAUCGUGAGGAACGCCCGCGGCGAAAGCGAGCGCCUGGACCCUUUCUGACGCUGAGACGCGAAAGCCAGGGGAGCGAACGGGAUUAGAUACCCCCGUAGUCC